AUCGUUCAACCUAUAUAAGUAGGUCGGAAGUAAGCUAAUACUGCUGAAGGAACGCGCA
ncrna:unclassified sequences Glutamine riboswitch